rnacentral:RNase_P_RNA from 1 species
UGAGCGGAAAGGACGGCAGCGGACGCAGUUCCGAAAGGACGCGCGCGAGGAAAGUCCGGGCUCCAAGGGCAAGGAUAGCUGCUAACGGCAGCCGGGGGUGACCCCAGGGAGAGUGCAACAGAGAUAUACCGCCAGUUUUUACUGGUAAGGGUGGAAAGGCGAGGCAAGAGCUCACCACGUCCUAUGGUAACAUAGGGGGUAUGUAAACCCUAUCCGGAGCAACACCGUACAGAAGAACAACGCACCGGCCCGGUGCGCUUCGCAAAGGUGGCAUUAAAGCCGCACGGGCGACCGGCGGCGAAGAUAGAUUGUCGUCAUUACAGAACCCGGCUUAUUUUCCGGUCACUCC